rfam:Ictidomys tridecemlineatus contig081270, whole genome shotgun sequence.
AGGGGUAUAGCUUAGUUGGUAGAGUGCUUGCCUAGCAUGCACAAGGUCCUGGGUUCAAUCCCCAGCACCCCAA